GGCAAAAUGAGAGCCCGACUGUCUCUUAUAACUAAUCAAUUAAACUGAUCCCCCAGUACAAAAGCUGAGAUACCCCCAUAAGACCAGAAGACCCUGUGAAGCUUUAACUAACCUAUUAAACCCAAUAAUAACUAAUUUCGGUUGGGGCGACCUUGGAACAAAAAAGAACUUCCAAUAUAUGACCUCCUCAUUCAAAAGGCAAACAAGCCACAUUAGACCCAGUAUAUCUGAUUAAUGAACCAAGUUACUCCAGGGAUAACAGCGCUAUCUUCUUCAAGAGCCCAUAUCAAAAAGAAGGUUUACGACCUCGAUGUUGGAUCAGGACAUCCUAGUAAUGCAACUGUUACUGAGGGUUCGUUUGUUCAACGAUUAACAGUCCUACGUGA
rnacentral:rRNA from 1 species